UACGUAGGGGGCAAGCGUUGUCCGGAAUCAUUGGGCGUAAAGCGCGUGUAGGCGGCUCGAUAAGUCUGCUGUGAAAGUCCAGGGCUCAACCCUGGAAAGCCGGUGGAAACUGUCGGGCUAGAGUCCGGAAGAGGCGAGUGGAAUUCCUGGUGUAGCGGUGAAAUGCGCAGAUAUCAGGAGGAACACCAAUGGCGAAGGCAGCUCGCUGGGACGGUACUGACGCUGAGACGCGAAAGCGUGGGGAGCAAACAGG
rnacentral:rRNA from 1 species